rnacentral:ncRNA from 1 species
UUAAUAAAGUUUGUUAAAGGUGCUUGAAAAGCUUAAUAGGGAAAGCGGUGUAAAUCCGCUGCAGCCCCCGCUACUGUAUACGGCGACGAAUCCAACAACCACUGUAAAACCGGGAAGGGUUGGAUGAGGAGGACCCGUUAGCCAGGAGACCUGCCUUUAAUGAUGCUAAUCC